rnacentral:tRNA from 1 species
UGUAAUUAGGACUGGGCAUCAUUUCGUUAUCAGCUUCCCAAGCUGAUAACGAGGGUUCGAUUCCCUUCACGCUCCA